rnacentral:rRNA from 1 species
AUUUGAAAUCUGGCACUUUCAGUGUCCGAGUUGUAAUUUGAAGAAGGUAUCUUUGGGUCUGGCUCUUGUCUAUGUUUCUUGGAACAGAACGUCACAGAGGGUGAGAAUCCCGUGCGAUGAGAUGUCCCAGACCUAUGUAAAGUUCCUUCGAAGAGUCGAGUUGUUUGGGAAUGCAGCUCUAAGUGGGUGGUAAAUUCCAUCUAAAGCUAAAUAUUGGCGAGAGACCGAUAGCGAACAAGUACAGUGAUGGAAAGAUGAAAAGAACUUUGAAAAGAGAGUGAAAAAGUACGUGAAAUUGUUGAAAGGGAAGGGCUUGAGAUCAGACUUGGUAUUUUGUAUGUUACUCUCUCGGGGGUGGCCUCUACAGUUUACCGGGCCAGCAUCAGUUUGAGCGGUAGGAUAAGUGCAAAGAAAUGUGGCACUGCUUCGGUAGUGUGUUAUAGUCUUUGUCGAUACUGCCAGCUUAGACUGAGGACUGCGGCUUCGGCCUAGGAUGUUGGCAUAAUGAUCUUAAGUCGCCCGUCUUGAAACACGGACCAA